rnacentral:pre_miRNA from 1 species
UGUUAAAAUUUUCAUCCAUUUGUACGAUUAAAAACUGGCGUGGCUGAUGGAAUAUCCAGGUAGUAACAAGUGACGUGCCACAUGUAUCUCAUGCUGAUAUAUAAGGAGUAGUUUUUAACUAUAAAACUGGAUGAAAUUUUUAAGA